rnacentral:rRNA from 1 species
GACGAACGCUGGCGGCGUGCCUAAUACAUGCAAGUCGAACGAAGCUUUUUUAACUGGUGCUUGCACCGACUUAAACAACUGAGUGGCGAACGGGUGAGUAACACGUGGGUAACCUGCCCCAAAGCGGGGGAUAACAUUUGGAAACAGAUGCUAAUACCGCAUAACCACAGAAACCACAUGGUUUCUGUGUCAAAGAUGGUUUCGGCUAUCACUUUGGGAUGGACCCGCGGCGUAUUAGCUAGUUGGUAAGGUAAUGGCUUACCAAGGCAAUGAUACGUAGACGAACUGAGAGGUUGAUCGGCCACAUUGGGACUGAGACACGGCCCAAACUCCUACGGGAGGCAGCAGUAGGGAAUAUUCCACAAUGGACGAAAGUCUGAUGGAGCAACGCCGCGUGAGUGAAGAAGGUUUUCGGGUCGUAAAACUCUGUUGUCAGAGAAGAACGUGUGCGAGAGUAACUGUUCGUGCAGUGACGGUAUCUGGCCAGAAAGCCACGGCUAACUACGUGCCAGCCGCCGCUGUAA